ACUCCCUUCUUCGAACACUCCCUCUUGGAAACCAGGACUGUGCCAUGAGAAACCCAUGUCACAUGGGUGGCCAUGUGUUGGCACUCUAGUUGACAUCCCCACCUGGGCUCGCACCUGGCAGCCAGCAUCACUGGGCAGCCAUGUCAGUUGCCAUCUUGGACAUCCAACCCAGCCCAUUCGUGCUCUCAGUCUUCUACUCUGUGCAAGACCCUGGGUUCACUGGUGUGAAGGAAAUAAACAUGAAUAAUAAAUUUAUGGGGCCUGCUGUCAAAGAGCUUCUGGACUAGCAGCAAAGACGCCAUUAUACAACCAACCAUUACAGAAACACACGGUCUGGUGGUGCGGAUGAUCGCUUUUACUCCGUGGAGGGACUAGAGAGCAUCCUACUUAUUUCUCACCAGUAUUAUCAAUCGAUUCCUCCUCUUCUUUUAGCUUUUCUCCAGCCUCUAUGCUCCUGAGUGUUUUCUUGCUUUCGUUCAUGGGAAUUCAGCCGGCUCCCAACGUCCCUCUUCAUUCAGAAGACCAUCCUGCCACCUGCAUCGGAGAUGGAAUAACAUCCCUAAAAUAAGUCCUUAAAGCAGUGGUUUUCAUGAAAGGCUGGGUGAGACGUGUUGGGGAGAGGAGAAUAUAGCUUAUGGAUGCUUGGGGGAAAACAUAUUCAAUGUGAUACCAUAUUAAGCAAUAUAACAUAAAGCAACAUAGUACAAUA